ensembl:lncRNA
CUUUUGCACAGUCUACUUAAAAGGAGGAGACACCCAGACAUAAGCAGCCUGUUUGAAGGGCCGAGAAGACCUAUGGUAGAAUAACUUUCUCUCCCAGGAUGGAUUUUCCACAUGUUAUCCACGUGUAUCCAGGUCUCUGGAGUGGAAUAAUCACAGCCUUUGCUUGAAGAAUUCCCUGCCUGUCAGACCCCGAAGGCUCAAGUCUGUGGACAGAAGAUGUGUGAAUACUGAGCUAAAACAGAGUAUAGGCAAGAGUUUUGUCUGUUCACCACUGGGAUUUAAGAACUUAAAGGCCAAGAACUGGCCUCAAAAGCAAAGGAGUGGUGAUCAUUUUGUAAUGUAUAAAAAUAUCGAAUCACUAUGUUUUGCACCUGUAAAAAAAGAAAAAAGACGAGGCGAAGUCAAUAUAUGCUUUAAAAAUAUAUAUAAAAUACACAGAUAUACAC